rnacentral:rRNA from 1 species
UACGAAGGGGGCUAGCGUUGUUCGGAUUUACUGGGCGUAAAGCGCACGUAGGCGGAUCGUUAAGUCAGGGGUGAAAGCCUGGAGCUCAACUCCAGAACUGCCAUUGAAACUGUUAGACUUGAGUACGAGAGAGGUGAGUGGAAUUCCCAGUGUAGAGGUGAAAUUCGUAGAUAUUGGGAAGAACACCAGUGGCGAAGGCGGCUCACUGGCUCGUAACUGACGCUCAGGCGCGACAGCGUGGGGAUCGAAACAGG